GCAGCAGUAGGGAAUCUUCCACAAUGGGCGAAAGCCUGAUGGAGCAACGCCGCGUGAGUGAAGAAGGUUUUCGGAUCGUAAAACUCUGUUGUAAGGGAAGAACAAGUACAGUAGUAACUGGCUGUACCUUGACGGUACCUUAUUAGAAAGCCACGGCUAACUACGUGCCAGCAGCCGCGGUAAUC
rnacentral:rRNA from 1 species